CCUACGGGCGGCUGCAGUGGGGAAUAUUGGACAAUGGGCGAAAGCCUGAUCCAGCCAUGCCGCGUGUGUGAAGAAGGCCUUCGGGUUGUAAAGCACUUUCAGUGGGGAAGAAAGCCUUGGGGCUAAUACCCUCGAGGAAGGACAUCACCCACAGAAGAAGCACCGGCUAACUCCGUGCCAGCAGCCGCGGUAAUACGGAGGGUGCGAGCGUUAAUCGGAAUUACUGGGCGUAAAGCGCGCGUAGGCGGUCUGAUAAGCCGGUUGGGAAAGCCCCGGGCUCAACCUGGGAACGGCAUCCGGAACUGUCAGGCUAGAGUGCAGGAGAGGAAGGUAGAAUUCCCGGUGUAGCGGUGAAAUGCGUAGAGAUCGGGAGGAAUACCAGUGGCGAAGGCGGCCUUCUGGACUGACACUGACGCUGAGGUGCGAAAGCGUGGGUAGCAAACAGGAUUAGAUACCCGGGUAGUC
rnacentral:rRNA from 1 species